CACAAAACACUGUUCAGCUUUGAAUUUAAACUGCAUCAAUUUACUGUUUGUCCCUUUAUAAUGUUAUAUGCAAGCAGGGUCAUCAUCUGUGUCACAUUCUCCAUUUAUUUUGAACAAUUGCUUUUAGAAUCAGAACUAGGUACUGAUGCCCCAACGUUCCAUUAGUUGAUUUGUUUGUUGAUGCAUUUUUUGUCUUCAUUUGGUUGUAUUUUUCAAGCAGUUUAAAUCCAACAUUCAUCUUGACUCUCUCAUACUGUUCAGUAAAAGACCUCAUUCCGGGAUUUUCCGUUGCAAGUCUUCUGUAUUUUGUAAAACUUAACUUCUUCACCAGUUCCUAGAAUUGUAUCAACCAGUGUUGUUGUUAUUUUGUC